UACGUAGGUGACAAGCGUUGUCCGGAUUUACUGGGCGUAAAGAGCGCGCAGGCGGUCGUUCAAGUCGAGUGUGAAAGCCCCCGGCUCAACUGGGGAGGGUCAUUCGAUACUGAUCGACUCGAAGGCAGGAGAGGGUAGUGGAAUUCCCGGUGUAGUGGUGAAAUGCGUAGAUAUCGGGAGGAACACCAGUGGCGAAGGCGGCUCGCUGGACCGGUCCUGACGCUCAGGCGCGAAAGCGUGGGGAGCGAUCCGG
rnacentral:rRNA from 1 species